UCUCCGUAGGUGAACCUGCGGAAGGAUCAUUAUUGUAUAACCGAGGUGCGAGGGCUGUCGCUGACCCGAAAGGUCGUGCACGCCCGAGUGCCCUCACACACAUCCAUCUCACCCCUAUGUGCACCACCGCGUGGGUCCCCCUUUGGCUUGUUCGGAGGGGGGCUUACGUUUUCACACAAACUUUGUAUGCAGUGUAGAAUGUAUUUUUUGUUUUUGCGAUCACGCAAUCAAUACCACUUUCAACAACGGAUCUCUUGGCUCUC
rnacentral:misc_RNA from 1 species